UGCGCAGGCGGGUUUGUAAGUCAGUGGUGAAAUCCUGCCGCUUAACGGUAGAAUUGCCAUUGAUACUGCGAAUCUUGAGUAUGGUUGAGGUAGGCGGAAUGUGUAGUGUAGCGGUGAAAUGCAUAGAUAUUACACAGAACUCCGAUUGCGGAGGCAGCUUACUAAGCCAUAACUGACGCUGAGGCACGAAAGCGUGGGGAGCGAACAGGAUUAGAUACCCUGGUAGUCC
rnacentral:rRNA from 1 species